rnacentral:rRNA from 1 species
UACGCAGGGGGCUAGCGUUGCUCGGAAUCACUGGGCGUAAAGCGCACGUAGGCGGCUUUUUAAGUCAGGGGUGAAAUCCUGGAGCUCAACUCCAGAACUGCCUUUGAUACUGAGAAGCUUGAGUCCGGGAGAGGUGAGUGGAACUGCGAGUGUAGAGGUGAAAUUCGUAGAUAUUCGCAAGAACACCAGUGGCGAGGGCGGCUCACUGGCCCGGUACUGACGCUGAGGUGCGAAAGCGUGGGGAGCAAACAGG